CCAGCAGCUGCGGUAAUUCCAGCUCCAAUAGCGUAUAUUAAAGUUGUUGCAGUUAAAAAGCUCGUAGUUGGAUUUGUGGUGUAUGCCGGCGGCCUGGUACAAUGUACUGGAGCUUGCUUGCGUCGCCAUCCUUGGGUGGAUCCUGUGUGGCAUUAAGUUGUCGUGCAGGGGAUGCCCAUCGUUUACUGUGAAAAAAUUAGAGUGUUCAAAGCAGGCUUAUGCCGUUGAAUAUAUUAGCAUGGAAUAAUAAGAUAGGACGUAGGUACUAUUUUGUUGGUUUGCGCACCCACGUAAUGAUUAAUAGAGACAGGCGGGGCUAUUCGUAUUGCAUUGUCAGAGGUGAAAUUCUUGGAUUUCUGCAAGACGAACUACUGCGAAAGCAUUUAGCAAGGAUGUUUUCAUUGAUCAAGAACGAAAGU
rnacentral:rRNA from 1 species